CUUGAGCUAUUGCAAGAACAAGCCUGCUCAUCAAAACCACAGCCCUCAACACAGCAUCAAUUGCUCCUCACUUUUCUUUGUUUUUCUUUUUCCUUCAACUCUAUUUGAUCGUCGAACUUUGUUGGUGGUGGAAGCUAAAGCCACAAUUUAUAGGGAUAACCUUUGGCCAUCUAUGGUUCUAAGCAUGAUUUGGAGCUAAUUACAUGAGCUGUAAUGAAGCAUAGAUUGAAGCGAUACAUGCAUGACUAUCCUUUUGAGCAUAAUUGAAGGUGUCUCUUUUGAUUUCAUGGCGAUGACCAGUGAAGACCACCCACAGUUCAGUCCAAAAUAUUUCUCUGGUCCUUUGAUUUAGCUGAUCAUGGCUAAUAAUGGAGACUUUUUCAUUGAAGAUCAUUUGCAUCGAGUUCCUUCCUUUGAUCAAGUCUUUUUGUCUGGACAAAAUUCCUUGUGGCAGCUUCAUUUUCUCACCUCAAAAGUUAAAUUUAUAUAAUUUAGCAAUUUUUGGUGUCUAUAUAUCAUUAUCGAAAUCUAUAAUGUUUCAAGCACUAAAAUACUUGCACUUUUAGAGACAAAUAACAUCAUAUGUAGAGACAAAUAACAUCAUAUGAAAAUUUAUUGGUAGUUCUCAUAAGUUUGAGAACCUAAGUCGUCACUAAAGGUCUGAAAUUCGCUGCUAGAGAACGAAAAACCGCCGCAUCAGCUCCAAAUUCGUCAUUUUAAGCAAGAUUGGCUACUUUUCUGCUGAUUGAAGUGAUAUAUAUGUCUCUACUCUGAUGAGUUGCACUUUCUUUGAUCAACUUUGCAGUUCCUUUGGUUUAGGUGAUCAUGACUGCAAUGGAGCUUUUCCUUUGCAGAUUUGCACAGUUCCUUUGAUUUUUGUGAUCAUGAUGAACCUCAAAUAAUUGUUACAUUUUUCAAACAAAAGAAAAACCAUAGUAAUAUCCGAGUGUAAAAAACAUCCAUGGUGACCGUCGCACCGGAAGAUUACUCCAAGACUGCGAGGCUUUCAAGCAAGCCCUCAAGAUUCAAGAGAUUUGAUAUCAAGUUCCAGCCCAUCCAUGUUUUCUUAUCAGAAGGGUGUGCAAAAUUGAGUUCAAACAUCUCCUUGCUAAC